AAUAGACAUCUGUGGUUUGAAUAAUCAAAGUGUGUUUUAACCGGUAUCAGCACGCAAUUUUAUAACUUACACUGUAAUUUGUAACUAAUUUGUAAUUAUGUAAAACUAACCUGGUAAAGUUAGGUGGUGUAAAAAAAAAACCAUGUAAAAGAAAAAGAAUGACCUUCAACCACAGAAGAAAUUUUAAUUAUAAAAACUCAGUGGACAAACGGGGCUAAAUGACAAAGUCAUAGCCUUUAAAG